ACUUUCUGUCCCGCUGUUUUAUGGGGAAGGCGGGGGAAGACACGCAGACAUCAAUUCGACUAAACAAAGUUUAUCAAUAAUAUUAAAAAUAAAAAGUAAAGCCCCUUUCUGAACAUUAUGGCUUAUUCCUUGAUUAUCCUUCUUAAUGCCACAGCGUGGCUAUCUCAGAACAAAAUUAGAGACUAACAGUAAAUUUACUUUAAUUUUUACGAAUAAUUCUCUAUCAAUGUAAAAAUUUUUCAUAUACGCGUGUAUGAAAGAAAAACACUACUAUUUUUCCACAUUCGUGAAAACUGCUUAACUGGGACAGUAACCGAGCGGCCAGUGAAUAUUUAAAAUACUGUAACCGACGAAUACGUAUGCUUCUAGGACCACGUGGAAUCUUUCCCAUGGUAGGUAAGCAAAACAAAUGUGCUUCCCAGAACCCUCCAAACUGCUCGUGGGUAUAUUACUACAGAUUACAUAAUGCAGCAGCGUUCCGGGACGCAAGCCCAG
rnacentral:lncRNA from 1 species